UACGUAGGGGGGCAAGCGUUGUCCGGAUUUAUUGGGCGUAAAGAGCGUGUAGGCGGCCAUGCAGGUCCGUUGUGAAAACUCGAGGCUCAACCUCGAGACGCCGAUGGAAACCGCAUGGCUAGAGUCCGGAAGAGGAGAGUGGAAUUCCUGGUGUAGCGGUGAAAUGCGCAGAUAUCAGGAAGAACACCCGUGGCUAAGGCGGCUCUCUAGUACGGUACUGACGCUGAGACGCGAAAGCGUGGGGAGCGAACAGG
rnacentral:rRNA from 1 species